rnacentral:rRNA from 1 species
UACGGAGGGUGCAAGCGUUGUUCGGAUUCACUGGGUAUAAAGGGUGCGUAGGCGGCGCGAUAAGUCAGGGGUGAAAUAUGUCGGCUCAACCGACAAACUGCCUCUGAAACUGCCGCGCUUGAGGUCGGGAGAGGAAGGUGGAAUUCCAGGUGUAGCGGUGAAAUGCGUAAAUAUCUGGAGGAACACCAAUGGCGAAGGCAGCCUUCUGGCCCGAUUCUGACGCUGAGGCACGAAAGCUAGGGGAGCAAACGGGAUUAGAUACCCCGGUAGUCCUAGCCGUAAACGAUGGGCACUAGGUGUUGGAGGAGUCUACCCCUUCAGUGCCGCAGCUAAUGCAUUAAGUGCCCCACCUGGGGAGUACGAUCGCAAGGUUGAA